AUAUCGAUAUAUCGAUAUAUCGAUAUAUCGAUAUAUAGAUAUAUAGAUAUAUAGAUAUAUCGAUAUAUCGAUAUAUCGAUAUAUCGAUA